UAAUACAGACAGACGACGCGGUCCAAGAAGAAGAAGAAAAAAGGAUACGUUCUCUUCUCUUCUUCUCCACUCUUCACGCUCGAUCGGACCCACAGAGAUAUAUUCCUUUCGACCUUUGAUUGCAUCACAUCGAAAACCACUCCAAAAUGUGUUAUAAACCUCGAAUAGCUAUAUUCUAAUCCUGAGCCCACCGCGAAUUAUCAUCAGCCUACACAUGUGAUAAGUAUAACCUCACUUUUCAAAAUGCAAAAUGGUUGCCAGUUGCCAGAAGUUCGUUCAGCGAAGAUCUAUCCUCACUUUUCAAAAUGCAUAAUGGUUGCCAGCGCUUAGAAACGUCCGCUCUUAGUUCGUUCAGCGAAGAUCUAACCUCACUUAAAAAUCAAAAUGGUUGACGACGAUUGGAAUCAAUGGUACCAACACCUACAAAAUGCAUAAUGGUUGCCAGCGCUUAGAAGCGUCCGCUUUUAAUUCGUUCAGCGAAGAUCUAACCUCACUUAAAAAUCAAAAUGGUUGUCGACGAUUGGAAUCAAUGGUACCAACACCUACAAACUUUUUCCCUAAAGAUAACAUAAAACUAAUACUAUAUACAGAAAUAUGUAUAAUAAGGAAAAAUGUAAG